UGUAUAACAGGCUGGGUGCAAAGCCUAUGUUUCUAGAAACUGUUUCUUAAAAUUUGACCCUAGUGGGACUAAGUGAUACACACGUGUGGCGUCAGCACUUGGGAUAUGCAAGAGGGUUAGGAGUUCUAGGCCAGUUUGUACUACAUAGUGAGAGUUCAGUACCAGCCCGAGAUAAGUGAUUCCCUUCUUUGAGACAACAGCAAAAAUCAAAAUUAGAUCGGACAGUCAGAGCUUAUAUUUGUUUCCCCAAGGCCGCCCUUUUGAAGUGCCAAAAGCAGGUGGCUUAAAAUAACAAUAGAACAAGUCUCUCAGUUCUGGAGGUUUGAAGGCUGAAGUCCAGGUGAUGUCAAGGUACCCUUUAUGGGAGUCCCUCCUCGCUUCUUCCUAGCUUCUGGAAGUUCUCAUUGUCCAUUGGUGUGCUUUUACUAGAAGCUGCAAAGUUCCAGUCUCUGCCCUUGCUGUUCUUUGGAUCUUCGUCCACAUACCCACAUUCUCAGAGACACAUUCAUGUUGUGUAGGGCCCACACUAAUCUGCUGGGACUUACUUCUUCUGGUUACAUCUUUAACAACACUGUUUAGAAAGAGGUCAUAGUGUCCCAGAUAGUUUCUGUCAACUUGACACAACCUAGAGUCACCUGGAAGAAGGAAUCUCAGUUUCAGAAUUGCCUAGGUCAGUUUGGCCUGUAGGCUUGUCUGUGAAAGAGUGUCUGGAUUAUUAGUUGCUGUCGGAGGACUCAGCCCGUUGGGAAAGGCAUGUCCUCAGGACAGGUGGUCCUGGGCUACUUAAGAAAGCUAAUAGAGCACAAACCUUUGGGUAAUUCAGCAAGUGGUAUUCCUGUUUGGUUUCUGCUUCAAGCUCAUGCUUGACUUCCUGUCCCAACUUUCCUCAGUGAUUCACAUGUAAACCAGAUACAUCCUUUCUUCCACUAAGUUGCAUUUGGUCAGAGUAUAAGAAAAGAAACUAGAAUAGUUAGGAUAUUUUUGGGUAAACUCAGUUCAGCCUGUAAUCGGUAUUGUGUUAACUUUUUCUGAGGUGACAGAACAAAUGUCUGUCCCAUCCCAGAUAAGGCACCAAUGACAGAUCAGCUUAUAAUUUCACCAGAGUUUUAUCUGACCAACCAGCGAGUUCCUGAGUUUAUUUACAGAGCAUAGCAAAGGGUUUACUUACAGGAGUAUGAGUGACCCCAGUGCAGAUCUGUCACCACAGAGUCCCACUGGAUCAUGGAGAGUGGUCUCAUGGAUGCUGUGUUAUGGAGUCCUCUUUUCAGUAAGCCUUCCCACAUGAUACACAGUCUAGCAUCUCCCCAAAUCACUUGCAGACAGUGGAAGUUAGGGAUGCAUAAUGGAUUCCAGGUGAGGCUCUUUUGAAGCCCCCCACCCCCAUUAGGGAGUGUCAGUAGCUCCAUUAUGAUAACCAUAGUCUUGGUUACCACUGUAUUACUCUGUUCUAGUUGCCUUGUUCUAGUUUAUUUCUGUGUCCAACCCACUCAAGACAUUCCAAACCUUUCAUCGAAUGUCUUGGUGGCAUGCAAAUAGCUAAAGAGUAGGUAAUUCUCCAACCCCCAGCUCAGCAAAUGUGAGUGGGAAGGACUGACUGCUAGAAGAAGACUCGCUCAUUUAUUCCGACAGGAGUUCCAGCUUAAAUGCUGAUCCCACCUAUGGAUUUAACCAUCUCGGAGAGAUUAAAACCUUUUCCCAGUCACUGAUUUAAAUAGCACAAGUUCUUAAUUAAAACGCACUAUAAAAAAGUGAUGAACAACCAAACUCAGUUGCUGCAUAAUUUAUUUACACUUAUGUAACGGCUUCCCUCAAGGAACUCAAGGCAUUUUGAAACUUAAAAUUAUCUAGUGGAUGUUAAUCUCUCCAAAAUUCCCAGGAGAAAGACACAAAUACAAGGUGUAAAAUCAACAAUGAGUCCCCUAUCGUUACGUAGACACGUCUUCCUCCCACAGAACUGACUGUAGCACUCUAAAUCUCCAUGGACCGCAGAUCUAAAACUACUUUAGAAAAUCCUACCAAGUGUAGGGAGUUGUUUUCUCAAGGAGCCCUCUUAUAGAAACAGAGCUAACAAAUGCUUCACAUGCUGAGAAAGAAAAGUUAGCAAACCUUUCUUGUAUUUUUUUUUGUAGUUAAAACAAAAAUCCUACCCAAUUUUCAACU
rnacentral:lncRNA from 1 species